rnacentral:lncRNA from 1 species
CUCCAAUCCUUUUUCUUGGUUAUAGAUUGAGAGUGGUCUUGGUGUUAUAUAGUGUAUAAUUUGUAUCUGUUUCAUGCAAAUAAUUAACUUUGAAAUGAAAAAUAGACAUCAGAGCAGAGGUUUAUUUGGUUCCCAUUGACUCUGCUAAUUUUAUGCUUGCUACAUUUUAAGAACAAAAACUUUUGCCAUCUCUUUCUAUAAUCUUUUUUUGGGGCUAUCUGUUUUCCUCAAGUUUUAGACUAUAACUCAAAUUAUGUAUUCUUUCUGCUGAUUGCUUCUGUACCUCUUUUACCUCCUAUAUGUUAUUUGUAGAGUGUGCACACAGCGGGAGGAAAACCUGAACUUGACUCAUGAAGUGCUGGGCAUUCAAAGCAGUGAUUCCUUGCAAAGGAUCUUGGGACUAGACCACUGUGAAUUGGCUCUUUCAAUUUGUCCACUUAAAGGGCAUAAUAGAUUGCGCAGCUGUUUGGGCUUUAGCAGGGUAUUGCUACAUAUUCAUGUCAGGUUGCAAUUAUGUGAAUUUUCAGUUUGUUACAAAGACUUCUCUUUGUAUUCAAAACAAUUUUGUUGAUUUUGUGUUUUAAUAUGUGAGUUUUCUUUCUGAAAAAGAUGGUUGCAAGAUUUUGAACUUUGAGACUAAAUUAAAAUUAUUAAAUAUAUAAACAUUAAAAGCAUGCUUUAAGAAGCCAUGUUAAUUUGCUUUAAUUUUGCAUUUUUAUGAAUAACAGAACUUUUUUUUUUAAGAUGCAGAUGGACACAAUACUUUUAUUUUAUUUAUUUUUAUCUGGUGCUGAGGGUCGAACCCAGUGCCUCACACUUGCUCUACCACUGAGCCACAACCCCAGUCUGAGUCAGAAUUUUUGAUAGAGGUGAAAAUUAUACUUAACACAUUAAAUACUUUUGACCCAAUCAGAAAACAAUUAAUUUCAGAGUGAUGUUUGAUUGGGUCAGGCUACUAAAUCAUAGCAGUUCUAAUGAAUAUGUCUUUCAGCUGCACUUCAGGAUAUCCAUGACACCUUGAAGUGGGUACACAGUAGUUUCCAUCCUCCUUUUAAAAAACAACCAUGAAUUUAAAAAUACUUU